rnacentral:miRNA from 6 species
UAUUGCACUCGUCCCGGCCUGU